UACGUAGGGUCCGAGCGUUGUCCGGAAUUAUUGGGCGUAAAGGGCUCGUAGGCGGUUCGUCACGUCGGGAGUGAAAAACUCGGAGCUUAACUCCGAGCCUGCUUCCGAUACGGGCAGACUAGAGGUAGGCAGGGGAGAGCGGAACUCCUGGUGUAGCGGUGGAAUGCGCAGAUAUCAGGAGGAACACCGGUGGCGAAGGCGGUUCUCUGGGCAUGUCCUGACGCUGAGGAGCGAAAGUGUGGGGGAGCGAACAGG
rnacentral:rRNA from 1 species